CCACCCCGCACUUGACUCCCCCACUCCCCCGACGCCACCUCUCCCACGCAUGCGACUCCUCCUCCUCGAUCUCUCCCCCACGGUGAGGCACCAGCCCACCAGGCUAUGGCUCCAGCCAAGGAUGCGAGGCUGCCCUACUAGGCGAGGCGCUGGCCACCAGGGCGCAGGGCCUGCACGCACUCUCUCUCUCUCUCUCUCUCUCUCUCUCUCUCUCUCUCUCUCUCUCUCUUGGCAACCGCAGACCAUCGCGGCAGCCUUAUGGCAAGUGCCCAGGUUUUCGUCGGGCCCUUGGCCAUGUCUUCGCUAGACCCUUCGCCGGCGACGAGCACCAAUAGGUUGGGACGAUGUAGCUUUAUGAAUUUGCAAGGCUUCUGUAAAUGCUUUUCCUUGGACUCUUGGAGAGGGACAUGCAGAGAAGUUAGUAUUUUUUAAUUACAAUGCAUCUGAGAAUGCUUUCCCUAUCCAAAUACAACUUUUGCAGGGACCAAUAAUUGCAAUACUUCAGUUUUAUUGAUUUUAUGGUUUGCAAACACUACAUAUGCCAUCAGCUAAGAAGUAUAUGAGAUGUUACUUUUUA